GCCUGGAUGGCUCAGUCGGUUGAGCGUCUGACUUCAGCUCAGGUCAUGAUCUCACGGUUCGUGAGUUCAAGCCCCAUGUCGGGCU
rnacentral:tRNA from 1 species